GGUUCUAGAAACACACUGUCUAUACUUUGAUAAGUCGCUCUAGUGCCAGUGGAAAGGCCAAGUAAUUCACCAUAAUAGGUAGAUGCUAGGACAAACACUUACCUUAAGAUCGAUGAAUGGAGAACACAUUUUCUAGAGAUGAGCAUGACAAUAUCCACCAUUCCAUUGGAUACUCUUCCCAUGGCAGGUUUUGCAUCUUCUCCCAUUGAAUCUGGGAGGGCUUGGGCACAAUGCCACGUGACUUCCAGGGGAACCCUGUUUGAGAACAUGUGAGCACUUCAAGACGACAGCACAGAUUGGCACCACAACUUUCCCAGAGAUCAUCAGACUCAAGUAAAGUGGCAAAAAAUGUGUAUUCUAUGCCUCUGUGACCCCAGCCCCCUCCAUCUCCGGCGGACUAGGUUGAAGUGCUGGUCUGCUCCUGUGGUCCUCUUCAGCCAGCAUGGGACUGGUGAGGAAAAGGCUGUGCUGGACUCCUCACCGCCCGGCUACCUGACCUUGGUGUUGAGCUUCAGGUCCACGUUGGUGCUGAUGUAGAGAUAGCAGCCAGAACUCUCUGUGGAUCAAAGCUGCAGAUGGACCUUAGGCCUGUAGCUGGAGGGGGACGUGGCAGAGUACAGCAGUCUGCUGCCCUCAGUAGCUGGGGAGACCUUGUAAGGGCAUCCACUGGCCAAGUCAAAAGGACAGAAAGGUUCAUCUCCCUCAUCCUCGACAUACAUAAACUUCAGCAAGGUGAACAGCCACCCAGGACACCAGCCCACACACAUGGAAGGACCGUCAUGGACCACAGGGCAUCCUCUCCCAGCACCACCUAGUGAGAGAGGCAGGAAGAAGGGAGCCUCCAGGGAAGACUGAACACUUCUCCCUAAAUAACAGACUGAGAGUACAUUUCCUAAAUGGCCAGUUGAGAUGACUAGAUCAAACUCAGUUUAGACUCAUUGGACAUUCGAUGAAUUUUCCUGCAGCAAGUAGUGAUCUGGAAAAAGACCAGAUCAGCAACAGAAAAAAUAAAGACCUUAUAUCCU